GACGAACGCUGGCGGCGUGCUUAACACAUGCCAGUCGAACGGAAAGGCCCUGCUUUUGUGGGGUGCUCGAGUGGCGAACGGGUGAGUAACACGUGAGUAACCUGCCCUUGACUUUGGGAUAACUUCAGGAAACUGGGGCUAAUACCGGAUAGGAGCUCCUGCUGCAUGGUGGGGGUUGGAAAGUUUCGGCGGUUGGGGCUGGACUCGCGGCUUAUCAGCUUGUUGGUGAGGUAGUGGCUUACCAAGGCUUUGACGGGUAGCCGGCCUGAGAGGGUGACCGGCCACAUUGGGACUGAGAUACGGCCCAGACUCCUACGGGAGGCAGCAGUGGAGAAUAUUGCACAAUGGGCGGAAGCCUGAUGCAGCAACGCCGCGUGCGGGAUGACGGCCUUCGGGUGGUAAACCGCUUUCGCCUGUGACGAAGCGUGAGUGACGGUAAUGGGUAAAGAAGCACCGGCUAACUACGUG
rnacentral:rRNA from 1 species